GCACCUCUUAGACCUCACUUAAGGGUUGACUGCCACUGGAGAAGGAUCUCUUUCUGGAGUUCUCUUCUUUGUGGAGUUGUCCUCUGUGAGCCUGGGUUUUUAGUGAUGGGUUUUCUCUGAGAGCAACAAAUACAAAAGGUGGAAACGAUGUCUUUACUUGUGUAGCCUGCCGUCCUCAGGAGGAUUGUAUUGCAACUGGCCAUGCUGAUGGAAAGAGUCGUCUCUGGAGGAAUUUCAACCACAAAAAAGAGUACACGUUCUCUACACUGCACUGGCAUCACGAUAAAGUCCUGGAUCUAGCUUUUUCUGUAG